GACAGAGGGUGCAAACGUUGUUCGGAAUUACUGGGCGUAAAGCGCGUGUAGGCGGCUCGGAAAGUCGGAUGUGAAAGCCCUGGGCUUAACCUAGGAAGUGCAUUCGAAACUCCCGAGCUUGAGUUCUGGAGAGGAAGGCGGAAUUCUCGGUGUAGAGGUGAAAUUCGUAGAUAUCGUCAAGAACACCUAUAGCGAAGGCAGCUUACUGGGCUGUAACUGACGCUGAGGCACGAAAGUGUGGGGAUCAAACAGG
rnacentral:rRNA from 1 species